rnacentral:rRNA from 1 species
AUUGAACGCUGGCGGCAGGCCUAACACAUGCAAGUCGAACGAGUGGCGGACGGGUGAGUAAUGUCUGGGAAACUGCCUGAGGGAGGGGGAUAACUACUGGAAACGGUAGCUAAUACCGCAUACCAGCGGAUGUGCCCAGAUGGGAUUAGCGAGUAGGUGGGGUAAAGGCUCACCUAGGCGACGCGCACUAGCGGGUCUGAGAGGAUGACCAGCAACACGGGACCUGAGACACGGUCCAUACUCCUACGGGAGGCAGCAGUGGGGAAUAUUGCACAAUGGGCGCAAGCCUGAUGCAGCCAUGCCGCGUGUAUGAAGAAGGCCUUCGGGUUGUAAAGUACUUUCAGCGGGGAGGCGUUACCCGCAGAAGAAGCACCGGCUAACUCCGUGCCAGCAGCCGCGGUAAUAC